AUGGUCUGCGAAACCUUCUUGAUCACCAAGUCCACACACAGAAGACUGUAUGGCACGAAUGAGGAAGAGUGGAGGAGAGCAGUGUGGGAGAAGAACAUGAGGAUGAUCCAGCUACACAAUGGGGAGUACAGCAACGGGAAGCAUGGCUUUACCAUGGAGAUGAACGCCUUCGGUGACAUGACCAAUGAGGAAUUCAGGCAGGUAGUGAAUGGCUAUCGCCACCAGAAGCACAAGAAGGAAAGGUUAUUUCAGGAAACUCUGAUGCUGCAGAUCCCCAAGACUGUGGACUGGAGAGAAGAGGGUUGUGUGACUCCUGUGAAGAAUCAGGGCCAGUGUGGUUCUUGCUGGGCUUUUAGCGCAUCGGGUUGCCUAGAAGGACAGAUGUUCCUUAAGACUGGCAAACUGAUCUCACUGAGUGAACAGAACCUUGUGGACUGUUCUCACGAUCAAGGCAAUCAGGGCUGUAAUGGAGGCCUGAUGGAUUUUGCUUUCCAGUACAUUAAGGAAAAUGGAGGGCUGGACUCAGAGGAGUCUUAUCCCUAUGAAGCAAAGGACGGAUCUUGUAAUACAGAGCCGAGUACGCUGUGGCUAACAACACAGGGUUUGUGGAUAUCCCUCAGCAAGAGAAAGCCCUCAUGAGGGCUGUAGCGACAGUGGGGCCUAUUUCUGUCGCCAUGGAUGCAAGCCAUCCGUCUCUCCAGUUCAGGCAUCUACUAUGAGCCCAACUGUAGCAGCAAGGACCUCGACCAUGGGGUUCUGGUGGUUGGCUAUGGAUUUGAAGGAACAGAUUCAAAUAAGAAUAAAUACUGGCUUGUCAAGAACAGCUGGGGUGAAGAAUGGGGUAUGGGUGGCUACAUCAAAAUAGCCAAAGACAGGGACAACCACUGCGGACUUGCCACCGCGGCCAGCUAUCCUAUUGUGAAUUGGUGGACAGCGAUAAUAAGGACUUAUGGACACUACAUCCGAAGGAGUUCAUCUUAA